AGGAAUUGGCGGGGGAGCACCGCAACGGGAGGAGCGUGCGGUUUAAUUGGAUUCAACACCGGAAAACUCACCAAGGGCGACUGUUACAUGAAAGCCAGGCCGAUGACCUUGCUAGAUUUUCAGAGAGGUGGUGCAUGGCCGUCGUCAGUUCGUACCGUAAGGCGUUCUCUUAAGUGAGAUAACGAACGAGACCCUCACCGAUAAUUGCUACUUCUUCCUCCGGGGAGGAGGCACAUUAUCGGGACCGCUGGCGCUAAGCCAGAGGAAGGAGAGGUCAACGGUAGGUCAGUAUGCCCCGAAUCUCUUGGGCUACACGCGCGCUACAAAGGGCGGGACAAUGGGCUCCGACGCCGAGAGGCGGAGGCAAUCCCGAAACCCGUCCGUAGUUCGGAUUGAGGGCUGUAACCCGCCCUCAUGAAGCUGGAUUCCGUAGUAAUCGCGAAUCAACAACUCGCGGUGAAUAUGCCCCUGCUCCUUGCACACACCGC
rnacentral:rRNA from 1 species